AUUGAACGCUGGCGGGAGGCCUAACACAUGCAAGUCGAGCGGAGCGGCGGACGGGUGAGUAAUGCCUCGGAAUCUGCCUGGUAGUGGGGGAUAACGUCGGGAAACGGGCGCUAAUACCGCAUACUAUCAGAUGAGCCUAGGUCGGAUUAGCUAGUUGGUGGGGUAAAGGCCUACCAAGGCGACGAUCCGUAACUGGUCUGAGAGGACGAUCAGUCACACUGGAACUGAGACACGGUCCAGACUCCUACGGUAGGCAGCAGUGGGGAAUAUUGGACAAUGGGCGAAAGCCUGAUCCAGCCAUCCCGCGUGUGUGAAGAAGGUCUUCGGAUUGUAAAGCACUUUAAGUUGGGAGGCGUUACCAACAGAAUAAGCACCGGCUAACUUCGUGCCAGCAGCCGCGGUAAUAC
rnacentral:rRNA from 1 species